CGCGCAGGCGGUCGUACAAGUCGAAUGUGAAAGCCCCCGGCCUAACUGGGGAGGGUCAUUCGAUACUGUUCGACUCGAAGGCAGGAGAGGGAAGCGGAAUUCCCGGUGUAGUGGUGAAAUGCGUAGAUAUCGGGAGGAACACCAGUGGCGAAGGCGGCUUCCUGGCCUGUUCUUGACGCUGAGGCGCGAAAGCUAGGGUAGCAAACGGGAUUAGAUACCCCGGUAGUCCUAGCCGUAAACGAUGGACACUAGGUGUUGGCGGUAUCAACCCCGCCAGUGCCGUAGCUAACGCAUUAAGUGUCCCGCCUGGGGAGUACGGCCGCAAGGCUAAA
rnacentral:rRNA from 1 species